rnacentral:rRNA from 1 species
CGGAUUGCAGGCUGNAACCCGCCUGUAUGAAGUUGGAAUCGCUAGUAAUCGCGGAUCAGCAUGCCGCGGUGAAUACGUUCCCGGGCCUUGUACACACCGCCCGUCACACCAUGAGAGUCGGGAACACCCGAAGUCCGUAGCCUAACCGCAAGGAGGGCGCGGCCGAAGGUGGGUUCGAUAAUUGGGGUGAAGUCGUAACAAGGUACC